UACAGAGGGGGCUAGCGUUAUUCGGAAUUAUUGGGCGUAAAGGGCGCGUGGGCGGCCUUGCAUGUCUUCCGUGAAAUCCCUCGGCUUAACUGAGGACGUGCGGAAGAAACUGCGAGGCUCGAGUCCGGGAGAGGAGGGUGGAAUUCCCAGUGUAGCGGUGAAAUGCGUAGAUAUUGGGAAGAACACCGGUGGCGAAGGCGGCUCACUGGCUCGUAUCUGACGCUCAGGCGCGACAGCGUGGGGAUCAAACAGG
rnacentral:rRNA from 1 species